UUGUUUACUAGUUGGGUCCUAUAAUAAACUUGUAACUUAUUUCAGUAUUACAGUUGCUGCAGAAGAAUUCCACACCUGUUGUGUAUUAUGAUCUGAAGUUCAAGUCAUGAGUUGCUGCAGAAGAAUUCAACACCUGUUGUGUUUAAUGAUAUUGGUAUUCAACUGAAGUUCAGAUCAUGAGUACUUCUGAUGAAAACACUUGCGUUUUAUGUGGCGUUAGAGACGACAACCCCACUUCAGUUCUUGGCGACAGGGGAUGCCAGAGCAUCA
rnacentral:lncRNA from 1 species